rnacentral:lncRNA from 1 species
GAGAGCUAAGAACUCUACAUUAUGUUCUGUCUCGUUUCUUUUUUUAUAGCUCAUCAUAACCUAUGCCUAUUUUUCCCUUUGAAUCUUUCAUAGAUUCCAGUCAUAGGCCAGAUUCAAGACUCAACCCCAAUUAUUGGGUAUAAGAGACACAAUAGGUAUUCAAUAAACAUCGGUUGAAUUGAAUUAAAUGGGAUUGAAAUUGGCCCCACUAAGACAUAGAUCUCUUAGGGGUUGUUUGGCUGCAAAAACCAGAAAUCUAGAUGACUAGCUAAAGCUAAACAAGAAAAUUUACUGUAAGGAUACAUGGAUUUCUUUAUGAGAAAAUGCAAAAGGAAGUGGAAACUUACCAGGAAUGAAAGAGAAUGCUGUUUAUAAUUGGAGAAAUGUGGACAUGAGAGGGGCACAGAGGAAGACUACCUGAAGACACACAGAGAGAAGGUGACCACGUGGUUGGAGUGGAGCAUCUACAAACCAACACACAUACCAAGGAUUGCUGGCAAGUAUCACCAGAAGCUAGAAGAGGCAAGAAAGGAUUCUCCCCAAAGCUGUCAGCAAAAACACAGCACUGAUGGUACCUUGAUUUCAGACUUUUAGCCCCGAAACUGUGAGAGAGUAAAUUUCUGUUGUUUUAGGUGACCUGUUUUUUGGAAUUUGUUAUGUCAACUGUAGGAAAUGGAUAUUGUACAACGAUUGGGGCAUGACUUUGCAAUGGUUUACCUGCUCUCAGAUGAAAAUUUUUUUUUUUUGUUU